UACGGAGGGUGCAAGCGUUGCUCGGAAUUAUUGGGCGUAAAGGGUAGGUAGGUGGUCUCAUUUGUCUGGGGUGAAAGCCUUGAGCUUAACUCAAGAAGUGCCCCAGAAACGGUGAGACUAGAGUUCUGGAGAGGGUCGUGGAAUUCCCGGUGUAGCGGUGAAAUGCGUAGAGAUCGGGAGGAACACCAGAGGCGAAGGCGGCUACCUGGACCAGCACUGACACUGAGGCACGAAAGCGUGGGGAGCAAACAGG
rnacentral:rRNA from 1 species